CUUCCAGCAUGCUCCGCAGAAGGGCCUGGAGUUCAGCGAGGGCAGGACCUGUGUCUGUCACCCUGCUCUCUCUAAAGCAAAUAUUAAGAAGCUGACAUUUAUCAAAAUGAACAAACACCUGCUGCCAGUGAAUCGUGCCCUGAAUCACGACACACAGAAGAACAUCUAGCGAGUUUGCAGUGCUCACACUGUGGGCCUCCAAAGGCUUUUGUUCACACUGAGCAUGGUGACCCUUGUCAAAGGGGCAUCCCUGCAUCCAUGCUUUUGCUUCGGAGGAUGGAAGGAAAGAAGGAAGGUGUUCAGGUUCCUUCUCAAGAGAUCUAACCCAGGGCCUCACACAUGCUAGACAUGUGCUUUGUCGCUGAGCUACAUCCCCGCCUUGCGCAGUUAAUAACUCUUAAGGGUAUACGAGUGAUCAAAUGAAAUGAUGGAAGCGAAACUUCACACACAACCAAAGCCAAAAUGAACAUGUGCCUUGUACUAAGAAAUCCCAGGAUUGUCACAACUUGUGCCAGCUGUUGAGGUUAUGACACCUGCGCCAGCAUCGCCAGCUCUGCCCACUGUCAUCUGUUCCAAGUGUUCCAUCUGCACUGUUUGUACCAAUUCUCCCAUUUCUGCAUCUGUACCUUCUGCAGAAACGUUUCCAACAAUGCCAGCUGUGUCACUGAUGCCAAAUAUGCCAGAUGUUCUAUUUGUCCACCCUGGGCCAAAUCAAUGUAGUUUUGUGCUCAUUAGUUUUAGCUGGUAGAUUCUAUUUUACAAUUUUUUGAGAUGUAUUUAGAUUGAAUCCGGGCAAAAAUCCCCUUUGCAGUGAUAUUCCUUCUACCCGUUCAUCUUUUUGCAACCCCAACUUUGAAUCUGAAAACAUGAAGUCAGCCGAUGUUAUUUUGAUCAUCUUAAACCAGCUGACGGUAACCAGUUCAAUAUUAAUUGUGGUAGAUAAUUUCCUACAAUGUAGAACUCUGUAUCACAAAAACCACGGAACACAGCAACAAAUUGGCAAAGUAAUUAAAAAAGAAUAAACUUUGUUCUGAUACACAAA